GUCUAGCAUGUGUGCGAGUCAUUGAGAUUCGUAAAACUGAAAGGCGCAACGAAAGUGAAGGCGCGCGCUAGCCGCGCGCUCGGGGAGGAUGGAGGUCGAUCACGCGUCGGCCUCUCGCACUCCCGAGGCGUCUCGUUCGCAAUUCGUCGAUGCAGGCGCGCUCAGAGCACAGAUGCUGGGACCCGAAAGAUGGUGAACUAUGCCUGGUCAGGUCGAAGUCAGGGGAAACCCUGAUGGAGGACCGUAGCGAUUCUGACGUGCAAAUCGAUCGUCGGAACUGGGUAUAGGGGCGAAAGACUAAUCGAACC
rnacentral:rRNA from 1 species